rnacentral:sRNA from 1 species
UAUUCUGCCCUACGGGGAAGGAUGAGAAGCUUCGACUAAGGUUCGACUCGAGCGUAGCGAGAGAACGUUGCCGAAGGCAACGGCCCGAAGGGCGAGGCGCUUUAGCGCCGAGUCAUCCUUCUCCCACCGCUG